rnacentral:rRNA from 1 species
UACGUAGGGGGCAAGCGUUGUCCGGAUUUAUUGGGUUUAAAGGGUGCGUAGGUGGCUGAUUAAGUCAUGGGUGAAAGCCCGCAGCUCAACUGUGGAAUUGCCUGUGAUACUGAUUAGCUUGAGUGCGGUUGAGGCAGCUGGAAUUGGUGGUGUAGCGGUGAAAUGCAUAGAUACCACCAGGAACACCGAUUGCGAAGGCAGGUUGCUAAGCCGUAACUGACACUGAGGCACGAAAGCGUGGGGAGCAAACAGG